rnacentral:rRNA from 1 species
CGCGGCCUAUCAGCUUGUUGGUGAGGUAAUGGCUCACCAAGGCUUCGACGGGUAGCCGGCCUGAGAGGGCGACCGGCCACAUUGGGACUGAGAUACGGCCCAAACUCCUACGGGAGGCAGCAGUGGGGAAUAUUGCACAAUGGGCGAAAGCCUGAUGCAGCAACGCCGCGUGCGGGAUGACGGCCUUCGGGUUGUAAACCGCUUUCACUCAUGGCGAAGCUUUUUGUGACGGUAGUGGGAGAAGAAGCACCGGCUAACUACGUGCCAGCAGCCGCGGUGAUACGUAGGGUGCGAGCGUUGUCCGGAUUUAUUGGGCGUAAAGAGCUUGUAGGCGGUUUGUCACGUCGGGAGUGAAAACUCAGGGCUUAACCCUGAGCCUGCUUCCGAUACGGGCAGACUUGAGGAAGGUAGGGGAGAAUGGAAUUCCUGGUGGAGCGGUGGAAUGCGCAGAUAUCAGGAGGAACACCAGUGGCGAAGGCGGUUCUCUGGACCUUUCCUGACGCUGAGAAGCGAAAGCGUGGGGAGCAAACAGGCUUAGAUACCCUGGUAGUCCACGCCGUAAACGGUGGGUACUAGGUGUGGGGGACAUUCCACGUUCUCCGUGCCGCAGCUAACGCAUUAAGUACCCCGCCUGGGG